AACGGAAAGGCCCUGCUUGCAGGGUACUCGAGUGGCGAACGGGUGAGUAACACGUGGGUGAUCUGCCCUGCACUUCGGGAUAAGCUUGGGAAACUGGGUCUAAUACCGGAUAGGACCGCACUUUAGUGUGUGUGGUGGAAAGUUUUUUCGGUGUAGGAUGAGCUCGCGGCCUAUCAGCUUGUUGGUGGGGUAAUGGCCUACCAAGGCGGCGACGGGUAGCCGGCCUGAGAGGGUGUACGGCCACAUUGGGACUGAGAUACGGCCCAGACUCCUACGGGAGGCAGCAGUGGGGAAUAUUGCACAAUGGGCGCAAGCCUGAUGCAGCGACGCCGCGUGGGGGAUGAAGGCCUUCGGGUUGUAAACUCCUUUCGCUAGGGACGAAGCUUUGUUGUGACGGUACCUAGAUAAGAAGCACCGGCUAACUAC
rnacentral:rRNA from 1 species